UAGCUUAGUGUUUUUUAUACUAAGUAGUUUCUGCCCAGUGAUUUUAAAUGGCCGCGGUAUCUUGACUGUGCAAAGGUAGCAUAAUCAUUUGCCUCUUAAUUGGAGGCUGGAAUGAAUGAAAGAAUAAAAAUAAUGCUGUCUCUGGUACACAGCAAAAAUUGCUGUUCUUGUGAAGAAGCAACAGUGAUACAAAAAGACAAGAAGACCCUAUUAAGCUUUACUUUUAAGUUUUGUUUUUUAUCUUAUAAGAAUAAAAAACAAAACUUUUUGAGUUUGGUUGGGGUGACUAGAAAGGAGGAGAUCCUUUCUUUCUUUUUUUACUUUAAGUUUAAAUAUGAUCCAAAUUUUUUGAUUAAUAGAACAAGUUACUAUAGGGAUAACAGCGUAAUUUUUUCAGAGAGUUCUUAUUGACGAAAAAGAUUGCGACCUCGAUGUUGACUUGUCGUCUCCUGUAAAGGUGCAGAAGCUUUAAGGGUUAGUCUGUUCGACUAUUAAAACGAU
rnacentral:rRNA from 1 species